rnacentral:misc_RNA from 1 species
AAGUCGUAACAAGGUUUCCGUAGGUGAACCUGCGGAAGGAUCAUUAAAAGAGUAAUGCCCAUCAGGGUAGACCUCCAACCCUUUGUUAACAAACUAUGUUGCUUUGGCGGGUCGUCAGGCUUCGGCCUGCCACCGGCUUAGGCUGGUGAGUACCCGUCAGAGGAUCCCUAAAAUUCUUAGUGUAGUCUGAGUUAAAAACAAAUUUUUUAAAACUUUCAACAACGGAUCUCUUGGUUCUG